GGGUCGCCGCGUGCCGGCCGGGGGACGGACUGGG
rnacentral:sRNA from 1 species